ensembl:lncRNA
CUGUGAGGAAGAUCUAGUACUAUGUAGCCUGGCAUUGCUAGGGUGCAGAGGGCAUCCUGGGUGGACGUCCAGCCCCCCGGGGAAGCGGGUCCAGCUGUCCUUCGGGUGCCCUGGUGGUGAGCGCAGUGCUGUGUCCUUGGAGUCUGGCAGGGGUGACGGUGCAGUCUGUGCUCAGCCAUGGAAAUUUCUCCAAGCGCUGUUUCUAAGAGUCACCGUGAAUUCAUCCAUUUGGAAUCUCAAGGCAAGAAUGCUGGAUUGGUUUGCCGUUUCCUCCUCCAGUGGAACGUGUUUUGUCAGAACUCUCCAUUAUGACCUGUCUGUCUAGAGUGGCCCUGCAUGCCAUGGCUCAUAGCUUCACUGAGUUACACAAGCCCCUUGACUAUGACAAGACUGUGAUCCAUGAGGGGGAGAAGCGUCAGCCACCUCAGAUAUGCAGAUGACACCACUCUAAUGGCCGGAAGUGAAGAGGAACUAAAGAGUGUCUUGAUGAGGGUAAAAGAGGAGAGUGAAAAAGUUGGCUUAAAACUCAGCAUUCAAAAAACUAAGAUCAUGGCACCCAGUCCCAUCAGUUCAUGGCAAAUAGAUGGGGAAAAAGUGGAAACAGUGGCAGAUUUUCGUUUAUUGGGCUCCAGAAUCACUGUGGAUGGUGACUGCAACCAUGAAAUUAAAAGAUACUUGCCACUUGGAAGAAAACCUAUGACAAACCUAGACAGUGUAUUAAAAAGCAGAAACAUCACUUUGCCGACAGAGGUCCAUAUAGUGAAAGCUGUGGUUUUUUCAGUAGUCAUGUAUGGAUGUGAGAGUUGGACCAUAAAGAAUGCUGAAUGCCAAAGAAUCGAUUGUCGUGCUGGAGAAGACCCUUGAGAGUCCGUUGGGCUGCAAGGAGAUCAAAUCAGUCAGUCCUAAAGGAAAUAAACCCUGAAUAUUCAUUGGAAGGACUGAUGCUGAAGCUGAAACUCCAGUACUUUGGCCACCUAAUGUGAAGAGCCAGCCCUCUAGAAAAGACCCUGAAGCUGGGAAAGAUUGAGGGCAGGAGGAGAAGGGUACGACGGAGGAUGAGCUGGUUGGAUGGCAUCACUGACUCAAUGAACAUGAGUUUGAGCAAGCUCUGGGAGAUUAGUGAAAAACAAGGAGGCCUGGUGUGCUACAGUUCUUGGGGUCAGAAAGAGUCACAUGUGACUUAGUGACUAAACAGCCACCACCAGGCCCUAGAUAAGAACUUCUUAUUGAUUUUUCAGACAGUUUUUCAGAAAGAGCAACCUGGACGAGGGGAGAGGGUGUCCCAGGUGUGGGGUCACUGAAAUUCAAGGAGACCCAAGAGAGGAGAGAGAGAGGAAACCAGCGCGUGAGCCGUGGGCAAAGAAUCCAGUCACUAUGACAACUUCAUUACGACAUAGUUCCCUCCUCGCAGCUCUGCAAACCGAGAUUUCCUGCAGCUGUCUCCAUGCUCAGAAUGCUCAUUUGGAUUUGGCCCCAAAGCUCUUGGAGAGGACCACUGCCUGUCUGCUUCCUAGAACGACUGCUGUCUCUUCUGGGACCAGUGGAGGAGCUACCAUGUGCCCGAGGUCAGGGGCGGCGACCAAGAGGAACAACCCCAUGUCCAAGGAGCAGUGGCUGCACGGGCGCAGGAGGGCUGAGAGGAGCUACUCCAUGUUCAAGGUCAGGAGGGGCACUGUGAGGAGAUACCCCUCAUCCAAGGUAAGGAGCCGUGGCUGCACUUUGCUGGAGCAGCCGUGAAGAGAUACCCCACGUCCAAGGUAAGAGAAACCCAAGUAAGAUCGUAGAUGUUGCGAGAGGGCAUCAGAGGGCAGGCACACUGAAACCAUAAUCACAGAAAACUAGCCAAUCUGAUCACACAGACCACAGCCUUGUCUAACUCCAUGAAACUAAGCCAUGCCAUGUAGGGCCACCCAGGACAGGUGGGUCAUGGUGGAGAGGUCUGACAGAAUGUGGUCCACUUCAGUAUUCUUGCCUUGAGAAUGCUAUGAACAGUAUGAAAAGGCAAAAUGAUAGGAUACUGAAAGAGCAACUCCCUGGGUUGGUAGGUGCCCAGUAUGCUACUGGACAUCAGUGGAGAAAUAACUCCAGAAAGAAUGAAGGGAUAGAACUAAAGCAAAAGCCAUAUCCAGUUGUGGAUGUGACUGCUGAUAGAAGCAAGGUCUGAUGCUGUAAAGAGCAGUGUUGCAUAGGAACCUGGAAUGACAGGUCCAUGAAUCAAGGCAGAUUGAAAGUGGUCAAACAAGAGAUGGCAAGAGUGAACAUCGACAUUCUAGGGAUCAACGAACUAAAAUGGACUGGAAUGGGUGAAUUUAACUCAGAUGACCAUUAUAUCUACUACUGCGGGCAGGAAUCCCUUAGAAGAAAUGGAGUAGCCAUCAUGGUCAGCAAAAGAGUCUGAAAUGCAGUACUUGGAUGCAGUCUCAAAAAUGACAGAAUGAUCUCUGUUUGUUUCCAAGGCAAACCAUUCAAUAUCAUGGUAAUCCAAGCCUAUGCCCCAACCAGUAACACUGAAGAAGCUGAGUUGAAUGGUUCUAUGAAGACCUACAAGACCUUUUAGAACUAACACCCCAAAAAGAUGCCCUUUUCAUUAUAGCGGACUGGAAUGCAAAAGUAGGAAGUCAAGAAACACCUGGAGUAACAGGCAAAUUUGGCCUUGGAGUACGGAAUGAAGCAGGGCAAAGGUUAAUAGAGUUUUGCCAAGAGAACACACUGGUCAUAGCAAACACCCUCUUCCAACAACACAAGAGAAGACUCUACACAUGGACAUCACCAGAUGGUCAACACUGAAAUAAGAAUGAUUAUAUUCUUUGCAGCCCAUGAUGGAGAAGCUCUAUACAGUCAGCAAAAAAAGACUGGAAACUGACUGUGGCUCAGAUCAUGAGCUCCUUAUUGCCAAAUUCAGACUUAAGUUGAAGAAAGUAGGGAAAAACACUCGACCAUUCAGGUAUGACCUAAAUCAAAUGCCUUAUGAUUAUAUAGUGAAAGUGAGAAAUAGAUUUAAGGACUAGAUUUGAUAUACAGGGUGCCUGAUGAGCUAUGGACAGAGGUUCGUGACAUUGUACAGGAGACAGGGAUCAAGACCAUCCCCAUGGAAAAGAAAUGCAAAAAAGCAAAAUGGCUGUCUGGGGAGGCCUUACAAAUAGCUGUGAAAAGAAGAGAAGUGAAAAGCAAAGGAGAAAAGGAAAGAUAUAAGCAUCUGAAUGCAGAGUUCAAAGAAUAGCAAGGAGAGAUAAGAAAGCCUUCCUAAGCGAUCAAUGCAAAGAAAUAGAAGGAAACAACAGAAUGGGAAAGACUCGAAAAGAAAAUCAGAGAUACCAAGGGAACAUUUCAUGCAAAGAUGGGCUCGAUAAAGCAGAAGAUAUUAAGAAGAGGUGGCAAGAAUACACAGAAGAACUGUACAAAAAAGAUCUUCAUGACCCAGAUAAUGACGAUGGUGUGAUCACUCACCUAGAGCCAGACAUCCUGGAAUGUGAAGUCAAGUGGGCCUUAGAAAGCAUCACUACGAACAAAGCUAGUGGAGGUGAUGGGAUUCCAGUGGAGCUAUUUCAAAUCCUGAAAGAUGAUGCUAUGAAAGUGCUACACUCAAUAUGCCAGCAAAUUUUGAAAACUCAGCAGUGGCUACAGGACUGGAAAAGGUCAGUUUUCAUUCCAAUCCCAAAGAAAGGCAAUGCCAGGGAAUGCUCAAACUACGACACAGUUGCACUCAUCUCACACUCUAGUAAAGUAAUGCUCAAAAUUCUCCAAGCCAGGCUUCAGCAAUUUGUGAACUGUGAACUUCCAGAUGUUCAAGCUGGUUUUAGAAAAGGCAGAGGAACCAGAGAUCAAAUUGCCAACAUCUGCUGGAUCAUGGAAAAAGCAAGAGUUCCAGAAAAACAUCUAUUUCUGCUUUAUUGACUAUUCCAAAGCCUUUGACUGUGUGGAUCACAAUAAACUGUGGAAAAUUCUGAAAGAGAUGGGAAUACCAGAUCACCUAAACUGCCUCUUGAGAAAUUUGUAUGCAGGUCUGGAUGCAACGAUUCGAACAAAACAUGGAACAACAGACUGGUUCCAAAUAGGAAAAGGAGUCAUCAAGGCUGUAUAUUGUCACCCUGCUUAUUUAACUUAUAUGCAGAGUACAUCAUGAGAAACGCUGGGCUGGAGGAAGCACAAGCUGGAAUCAAGAUUGGCAGGAGAAAUAUCAAUAACUUCAGAUAUGCCGGUGACACCACCCUUAUGGCAGAAAGUGAAGGGGAACUAAAAAGCCUCUUGAUGAAAGUGAAAGAGGAGAGUGAAAAAGUUGGCUUAAGGCUCAACAUCCAGAACACUAAGAUCAUGGCAUCUGGUCCCAUCACUUCAUGGGCAAUAGAUGGGGAAACAGUGUAAACAGUGUCAGACUUUAUUUUUUGG